GACGAACGCUGGCGGCGUGCCUAAUACAUGCAAGUCGAGCGGACUAAUGGGAGCUUGCUCCCAUUAGUUAGCGGCGGACGGGUGAGUAACACGUGGGCAGCCUACCUGCAAGACUGGGAUAACUUCGGGAAACCGGAGCUAAUACCGGAUGACAUAAAGGAACUCCUGUUCCUUUAUUGAAAGAUGGCUUCGGCUAUCACUUACAGAUGGGCCCGCGGCGCAUUAGCUAGUUGGUGAGGUAACGGCUCACCAAGGCGACGAUGCGUAGCCGACCUGAAAGGGUGAUCGGCCACACUGGGACUGAGACACGGCCCAGACUCCUACGGGAGGCAGCAGUAGGGAAUCUUCCGCAAUGGACGAAAGUCUGACGGAGCAACGCCGCGUGAGCGAUGAAGGCCUUCGGGUCGUAAAGCUCUGUUGUUAGGGAAGAAUAAGUGCUAGUUGAAUAAGCUGGCACCUUGACGGUACCUAACCAGAAAGCCACGGCUAACUACGUGCCAGCAGCCGCCGUAAGAC
rnacentral:rRNA from 1 species